rnacentral:rRNA from 1 species
AUUGAACGCUGGCGGCAUGCCUUACACAUGCAAGUCGAACGGCAGCGGACCUUCGGGUGCCGGCGAGUGGCGAACGGGUGAGUAAUGCAUCGGAACGUGCCAUUGAGUGGGGGAUAACGUAGCGAAAGUUGCGCUAAUACCGCAUAUUCUGUGCGCAGGAAAAGCAGGGGACCGCAAGGCCUUGCGCUCUUUGAGCGGCCGAUGUCAGAUUAGCUAGUUGGUGAGGUAACGGCUUACCAAGGCGACGAUCUGUAGCGGGUCUGAGAGGAUGAUCCGCCACACUGGAACUGAGACACGGUCCAGACUCCUACGGGAGGCAGCAGUGGGGAAUUUUGGACAAUGGGGGCAACCCUGAUCCAGCCAUGCCGCGUGAGUGAAGAAGGCCUUCGGGUUGUAAAGCUCUUUCGGCCGGGAAGAAAUCGCAUGGGUUAAUACCCUGUGUGGAUGACGGUACCGGCAUAAGAAGCACCGGCUAACUACGUG